rnacentral:rRNA from 1 species
GGGGGAAGGUAGCUUUGCUACUGGGACCUAGCGGCGGACGGGUGAGUAAUGCUUAGGAAUCUGCCUAUUAGUGGGGGACAACAUCUCGAAAGGGAUGCUAAUACCGCAUACGUCCUACGGGAGAAAGCAGGGGAUCUUCGGACCUUGCGCUAAUAGAUGAGCCUAAGUCGGAUUAGCUAGUUGGUGGGGUAAAGGCCUACCAAGGCGACGAUCUGUAGCGGGUCUGAGAGGAUGAUCCGCCACACUGGGACUGAGACACGGCCCAGACUAAUACGGGAGGCAGCAGUGGGGAAUAUUGGACAAUGGGGGGAACCCUGAUCCAGCCAUGCCGCGUGUGUGAAGAAGGCCUUAUGGUUGUAAAGCACUUUAAGCGAGGAGGAGGCUACUUUAGUUAAUACCUAGAGAUAGUGGACGUUACUCGCAGAAUAAGCACCGGCUAACUCUGUGCCAGCAGCCGCGGUAAUACAGAGGGUGCGAGCGUUAAUCGGAUUUACUGGGCGUAAAGCGUGCGUAGGCGGCUUAUUAAGUCGGAUGUGAAAUCCCCGAGCUUAACUUGGGAAUUGCAUUCGAUACUGGUGAGCUAGAGUAUGGGAGAGGAUGGUAGAAUUCCAGGUGUAGCGGUGAAAUGCGUAGAGAUCUGGAGGAAUACCGAUGGCGAAGGCAGCCAUCUGGCCUAAUACUGACGCUGAGGUACGAAAGCAUGGGGAGCAAACAGGAUUAGAUACACUGGUAGUCCAUGCCGUAUACGAUGUCUACUAGCCGUUGGGGCCUUUGAGGCUUUAGUGGCGCAGCUAAAGCGAUAAGUAGACCGCCUGGAGAGUACAGUCGCAAGACUAAAACUCACAUGAAUUGACGGGGGCCCGCACAAGCGGUGUAGCAUCUGGUUUAAUUCGAUGCACCGCGAAGAACCUUACUAGGCCUGACAUACUAGAAAAUUUCCGAGAUGUAUUGUGCCUUCGGGAACCUAGAUACAG